UACCCGCGGUCCAAGUCGCAGCCAUCUUUAUUGGGUCUAAAACAUCCGUAGCUUGCCUGAUAAGUUCCUUGUGAAAUCUUAUCUCUUAAGGAUAAGGCGUGCAAGGAGUACUGCCAGGCUAGAGACCGGAAGACGUAAGAAGUACGUUCGAAGUAGCGGUAAAAUGCGUUAAUCUCGGGCGGACUCACAACAGCGAAGGCAUCUUACGAGGACGGUUCUGACUGUCAGGGAUGAAGGCUAGGGGC
rnacentral:rRNA from 1 species